GCCAGCAGCCAUAUCACCCUGCAGCUCGCCACUGGCAGGCCCACUGAAGCUCAGCAGGUGUGAGCCUGGCCAGUACCUGGAUGGGAGAGCUCCUGGGAAAGCUAAGGUUGCUGCUGGAA
rnacentral:rRNA from 1 species